rnacentral:lncRNA from 1 species
GUCGACACCCCUCUUGUCGCGAGAACGUUGCUUCCUCUCGUCUCUCUCUCUCUCUCUCUCUCUCUCUCUCUCUCUCUCUCUCUCUCUCUCUCUCUCUCGCUCUCUCGCUCUCUCGCUCUCUCGCUCUCUCGCUCUCUCUCGCUCGCUCUCUUUCUCUCUCUCUCUCUCUCUCUCUCUCUCUCUCUCUCUCUCUCUCUCGCUCUCUCUCUCUCUCGCUCGCUCGCUCUCUUUCUCUCUCCCCGCCCAGAGUUUUCUCUGUCGCGUAGGGUGUUGUGUUAAUUUUGGCGGUCUCAGAUGUCUCAGGUACCUGGGUCGGAGUCCUUUCUGUUGUUAUCUACUGGAUUCCCUUGAUUCAAGGCCUAGGGAGUUCCUGCCCUACACUGGCCCUCGCGAAAAUAUUUGUCUUUGAGGACGUCUGGGGCUGCGACCGCGGAAUAGAAAAAAAUAGUAGGUCAUCAAAAACAAGGAAAAUUGGAAAAUCUUUCAUGGCCAAGAGAAGCUUAAGGAGACAUGAUGAUUAAAUGUAUCCUGGAUGGGAUCCUGGAACACGAAAAGGACAUUAGGUAAAAACUAAGGAAAUCUGAAUAAAGUAUGGAUGUUAGUUAAUAAUAAUAUAUCAGUACUGAUUCAUUAAUUGUGACAAAUGCACCAUACUAAUGCAGGGGAAACGGUGUGGGAUAUAUGGGAACUCUACUAUUUUCACAAUUUUUCUGUAGAUCUAAAGCUGCUAAAAAAUUAUUUUUAAAAAGUCCAUUCCUGUCUUUUAGAAUAUGUUAUCAAGUAUAGACAUAAAUAUGAUGUAACUGUAAAGGCAGUGUAAUCAUAGAUAAAUAAUGUUUCUUGUGGUUUUUUUGUUUGUUUU